GACGAACGCUGGCGGCGUGCCUAAUACAUGCAAGUAGAACGCUGGAGGAGGAGCUUGCUCUUCUGGAUGAGUUGCGAACGGGUGAGUAACGCGUAGGUAACCUGCCUGGUAGCGGGGGAUAACUAUUGGAAACGAUAGCUAAUACCGCAUAACAGUAGAUGUUGCAUGACAUUUGCUUAAAAGGUGCAAUUGCACCACUACCAGAUGGACCUGCGUUGUAUUAGCUAGUUGGUGGGGUAACGGCUCACCAAGGCGACGAUACAUAGCCGACCUGAGAGGGUGAUCGGCCACACUGGGACUGAGACACGGCCCAGACUCCUACGGGAGGCAGCAGUAGGGAAUCUUCGGCAAUGGACGGAAGUCUGACCGAGCAACGCCGCGUGAGUGAAGAAGGUUUUCGGAUCGUAAAGCUCUGUUGUAAGAGAAGAACGAGUGUGAGAGUGGAAAGUUCACACUGUGACGGUAUCUUACCAGAAAGGGACGGCUAACUACGUG
rnacentral:rRNA from 1 species